rnacentral:rRNA from 1 species
UACAGAGGGUGCGAGCGUUAAUCGGAAUUACUGGGCGUAAAGCGUGCGUAGACGGUUUUGUAAGUCGGAUGUGAAAUCCCCGGGCUCAACCUGGGAAUUGCAUUCGAGACUGCAAGGCUUGGGUGCGGAAGAGGGAAGCGGAAUUUCCGGUGUAGCGGUGAAAUGCGUAGAUAUCGGAAGGAACAUCAGUGGCGAAAGCGGCUUCCUGGUCCAGCACCGACGUCAGGCACGAAAGCGUGGGGAGCAAACAGGG